rnacentral:rRNA from 1 species
ACCGGCGGCUCGAGUGGUGGCCACUAUUAAUGGGCUUAAAGCGUUCGUAGCUGGCUUGUUAAGUCUCUGGGGUACUCUUCAGGCUCAACCGGAAGGCGUCUCAGGGAUACUGGCAGGAUAGGGACCGGAAGAGGUGACUGGUACUCCAGGUGUGUUUUGGAAAUCGUUUCGUUUGUGGGGGACCACCUGUGGCGAAGGCGUUUUCCCAGGACGGUUCUUUUUGUGAGGAACGAAAGCUGGGGGAGCAAACCU